GAGUUGUAGUCCGCGUGCAUUGUGGGAGUUGUCGUAAAAAAUCCGCUCUUUUUUUGCUGUCAUGGCCGCCUCCGAAAGGGCGAUAAGAAGUUUUCUGCUUUCUGAGGGUCUUGGGGGACUGUCUGAUCUGUUAGAAGGCUACCAGCAGACCCUUGGGGUGGCAGAGACCCUGGCAUUCUUGUCCCGGGCGUGGACAAGAGGCCUGAGAGGGUCCAUGCUGGACUUGCAGUGUUUCCAUGAGCCAGGAGGCCUGUGACUGCUUGUGGGGUCGCAGGCGGCCACAUCCUGGUGGUCUGCCCUUCUGCCUUUGACCUGUCUGUCAGUAUGGCCUGUGCCUGGGUGUCUGGAGUGUGCUCUCUGCUCUUAUGGUUUGUGUUCUGCUCCGUCCUCUUGUCUUACACACUCUGGAAUCGUGGUUGCGCAGGACCCGAGUGUUGCUGGGCCUUUUAUUCUGGGGGUAGUGGGGCUUAGGAGAGAGCCAAAAUUUUAGCAAGCGUGUUUAUGUGGGUGUUGCCUGUCUGCUUUGGGGUGUAAGAACUUGCAUGAGUUCUCGGCAUGGGUGCGGACACGUAUUUGAUUGUCUUUUGCUUGUACUGAACUUUGACCUUGUUUGCAAAUUUUGUUUGUCCAGCUUGUGGCUGUCUCCUGUUAGCGUGGUUUGUUCUUAAACCUGUACAAGUGUCUCCGGGAGUGGGUUUUGAGUUGUUUGUGGGUAGGUAUAUGGACAAAGCUGAAGUGAAAGCUGGUGGCAGGAUCACAAGUACCUUUAUCUUUAGGGAGCAAAGCUCUUUGACUUUCCUGGUGCUGAGAAGUUAUUUAGAUUCUUUUGGGGGAACCCAGGUUUGUUGUUACCCAUGUUACAUUUGGCUCACAGUGUUCCUCUGCAAGUUAAGGAUCUUUGAUACUGGCUCUUGGGAACACCUGAGGCAGAAUGGAUUACUGUGAAUCUCAGGGUAUUAAGAUAAUAUAGUUGCUGAGCAUGUCAGCACCUGUCUUACCUGUCCAUACAGAAUUAGGUCUCUGUGUUACUGCCAGUGUGUACUCUUAGGUACAUUCUGUCUAUUUCCAUAAUCUGGAGUUAUCCACCCUGAGGUAUGAUUGCUUUUGCAAUAAGGUUUUGGGACCCCAAUACCAAUUUUUAGUUUUAAAGGGAAUCAUGUGACAAGACUUACAGGGAAAGGGUUAAAAGGUUGCAUUGUGAUUGGUAUUUUCUUACAUGUAAAACUGUUGCUUUGUUUUUGUAUAUUGUUUAAGAAUGCUUUGAUGUGUGUGGUGAGGAGGGUUUCUCUAAUUUUUUCAUCUUUACAGUUGCUUUCCUCCUGACCGCUUAAAUGUAAUAGAAAGAUCCGGCUAGAAUUGUAUGUGCAAUUCUGUUUCAAGUGACUUCAGUCUCCUAUCCAUAGACUCAGUGCUUGUUGGAUUGCUAGUCAGCUUCCUCCCCUUUGUCCUCCUCUGUUACUUAACUCACUUGCCCGUCGAGUGAAGAUUGAGAAAUGUCAUUUUAAAAUAAUCAAUACUGCCUGAAUGCACUAAUGCUGGCAAACUGAUGUCGUAUCUGGGAAGGCAGAAUGUCAAGAGUAGCUGGGUUUGCCGGGGCAUUCCAAACUAUCACAAGCACAGUGUUAAUUUGCUUUGAAAGAAGUUGCAGUUACCUGCAGCUUGCUAAAGAAUGCAUUAGGAAGCCUUCCGAAGGUGCUUUGGGAAGGGCAAGGUCCUGACUUCAGUAAAGCUGGGGAUGAAUUUAAUCUUUGUGUCUGGAUACUUACGUAAGUAGAUAACAUUUCCCUGUGAAGCAGUGAGGUUUUUAUACCCCAGAAUCCUGGCAUUUCGUCCCCAGGGCCUCUGUUAGGUACUUUCCACGGUGUGCAUUCCAGUUUUGGAACUGCUGGGAAAUGUUUUCUGUGUUAUUCACUAGUAGCAGGAUUAAUGGCUUCAGAAAAGAAAAUAUUGUAAGACCUACUUAUAUUUUCUGUUUAAAGUUCUUAAGGCUGUACACACUUGCUUGGAAUUAAAAGUUUCACAUGGCUUCACCAAAA
rnacentral:lncRNA from 1 species